AAGCUUUUUAACAGCGCCCGCCCGGCCUCAGAGCCGCCCAGAGAGGAGCCGCCCUGGACGGACAGAGGGACGGAGGGACGAGCAUCCCGUUGGUCUUGUCCGGCUGCCCGUGGCAGUCUCCAACACCCGCUGUGGCCCGUCCGCCGCCCGCUUGCCUGGCAUCCCUCGAUCCCGGCCCGGGUCUCUCUCUCCGGCCCAUGAGGUGGGUCUGGGCAGGCCUUGUUGCUCCUGUUUGACAGAUGAGGCCACUGAGGUCCACAGCAGUGCCGCGUGGAACGGCCUCGAGGCUUCCGCCCCGGUGAGGGUGUGACGUGGGCCCGGGCACCGUGCCCGCGCUGGGUGACUUCCCGCGUGACCCGCAGCGUCUCCAGUGCUCUUUCCACUCAGCCCAGCCCUCAGCCUGUGAGUGCCCGCGACCGCCGCCUGACCCCUGCUCCCAGCACCAGCCUAGGGCCUGGCACCGGGGACCCCAGUUCUCCCCCUCCUCCUGUGGCCAGCUCCCCCUCUUUCUGCUGCCUUGCCAUGGGCCAUCAGCCCCCUGCCACCCUGGGCUCUGGCCCCACGGGUUGUCUUCUCUGCCCUCCAGGGCUGCCCGUGGGCCCUGCCCUCCAGGGCUGCCCGUGGGCCCUGCCCUCAGGCCCGCUCUCUCCCCUUUCACUCACCCCUACAUCCUGGGCCUCUUUGCACCUUCUCAGACCGGUUGUGGGAGCAGUGGGGUCAGCCACUCCCAGCUUCAGGAUCCGCCCCGACACCAGGAUCUGCCCUGCCACCUCCCGGUGGCGUGGUAGCACUUGAAUUUCAGCCCUUCUCUGGGUCCCAGGAAAAAGAGGUGCCCGGCACAGGGUGGGGCGGGGGAGGUAACAUAAGAGUUCACAGGCACCAGGCCUCUUGCAACGUUAGGAUCCCAGCUCUGACACCAGUCACGCACCCCUGAGCCAUGAGGAUCUCUCUCUGAGACCGAGUUUUCUCCUCUGUAAAAUGGGUGUAAUAAUAGUUCUUUCCCGUUGGGAUAGCACUAACUACUUCCAGGGGAGGGAUUCUCAACCUGGCUUGGGGCUCAGGGAGGACUUCCCAGAGAGGGUCUUUUUGCCAUACAGCUCUCAACAAUGGGUUGACCAGCAAAGACAUGGGGAGUGUGCCCCACAGGGAGGGUAGGAUUUGAGCAGAGGCCAGAGAUGGAAAUCCGGCUCUUUGAGCCCAAGGCUGGAAGGGGUGGAGGUGAAUCUCCGAGCUCUGGCCUAGAGGCUCUGGACUUCCCAGGAUCCCAACCCCAGCUGCCCCACACCACCUUGCUAACAAGGGCUCUGCCCUUCUUGUUCCUGUCUUUGUGCCUACAAGCCCUCCCUCGCCUCCUGGCCCUUGCAAACCCUCCCAUCCCUCAUGAUACGCACAACUUACUUCCUCCAGGAACCCCUAUCCCCUUCCUCCCCCAUUCCCUCUCUCUCCUGCCCCUGUUUUCCCUCUUUCCUCUGCAGCUCUGCCUGUUGCACAAAUCCACCAUGUUAGAUCAUUUUGUCAGGAGUGCACAGGCCUGGAAGCCAGCAGGAACCCAGUAUAAAGCCCCGCCGGCUCCCUGCGUGCCCAGCUUCCCACUCAUCUGAUCCUCGCCACCACCCUCUGGGACCAGAGAGGAGGGGGCCCAUUUGACAAAUGAAGAUGCAGAGGCUUGAGAAGCCAGGCUGCUUACAGCCAGUCAGGGUGGGGGUGGGGGAAGUCAGGAUCACAAGGGGCCUCUCUCUCACCCUACCAGGGUGGCUGCCAGGGCUGGGGUGCUUUCUGUUCAGUUGGAACGCCCAAGUCUGUCUUGCUUUGUCUUCUGGGUCUCACAGCCUCCCUGUCCUACCUGCUGAUGGCUCAGACAGUGAAGAAUCUGCCUGCAAUGCGGGAGACUUGGGUUCGAUCCCUGGCUUGGGAAGAUCCCCUGGAGAAGGAAAUGACAACCCACUCCAGUAUUCUCGCCUGGAGAAUCCCAUGGACAGAGGAGCCUGGUGGCUACAGUCCAUGGGGUCACAAAGAGUUGGACACACCUGAGCGACUAACACUUUCACUCCUACCCACUGGCCCCUCUGCCACCUGAAGCCCCUCGAUACUGUCACUACUUUCCGUAGUAUCUGCCCUGCUCCAGCACGCAGCUCUGGGCCUUAGAGGGGCCAGAGCUGAGGCCCCACAGGUGUGUCGGGAACACGCAGAGAUGCAGGGAAGGGCCUGGCAUUAGGGGUCAGCAGGUACUGCCCCUUCCAACUGGUGACCAAGCUCCAUCAUUCACCUCUCAGAGCCUGUCUCCGCCCCCUGAGGACUGAGUUGUACUCAGCAGACCUGCGAGGUCCAUGCGGUAUUACAGAUGAGGAAACCGAGGCUCUGGGAGGCCAGGGACCUGCCUGAGGUGGGAGCCAGGGCACUGAGCCCCUGGGUUUCUGGACUGUUUGCUGAUGUCACAACACAGGGGGACUGAGAGAGGAGGGUCCUGAGAGCCCUUUGUGAAGCUUCAAAAGCUGCCCAGCCUUCAUUCUUUAACUAGGGGUCCACAGGCAAGGCUUGUCCUUUAUUGGGUCCCCUUCGGGUGCCUGGGACUCCUUCAACUGUGAACUGCCCCCACCCCCGCAGGGCAACCUUGCUCUCUGUAGGAUCCUGUCUGGCUCAAAGACCAAACGCCUCAUUCUUAACACCUAGAAGGUGCUGGGCCAACAUUUACUCAGAGAAUGGUUGCACCUACGAUGGGAGGGUGGGCAAGCUGGGGAGGAGGAGCGCUAGGGAGGGGAGCACACAGGAGUUAGGUGGGUAUGACAAAAGUCCCGUUAGGUGUCCAGCUCUCACCCUUGACCCCUGCAGUUUAUUCCCCACAAGGCAGCCAAAGAGUCCUUGUUGAAAUGGAAUUCUGACCACACAAACCUUGCUCCAAGCUCCUGUGGGCACCCACGCGCCUGGGCUCUUCCAUCCUUCCCCAUGACUCGACCCCCUGAUGUCUGCUGCAGCCACUCUGAUCUCCUGGCUCUUCCCAGACUCCCCAGGACGGUCCCCCUCAGGGCCGUGGCACGCUGUGCCCAGUGCCUGGACAUUCUUUGCCUGAGUGUUCCUCCUCUCUCCAUUCAGAUCUUUGUGAAAUGGCAGAGCCUUGCGGGGGCUUCCCCCGACCACCAUUUCUAAAGUUAUCCCUCUUGUCGCUCUUUCUCUUUGCCCAGAUUUGUCACCAUCAAGCCUGUGGCCACCUGCCAUUAGUUUGUGUCUUUGCUCUUUUAUUGCCUACUCCCUGGGGGCAGGGUGGUCUAUUUGGUCCACUGCUGAGUCCCAGAGCUAAGACAGAGCUGGGCACAUGGCUCUGCCUGUAUUUCUGGAAGGAAGGAUGGAAGGAAGGAAGGACCUCUUUCUUCUGCUUAUUCAUGGGGUGCCUCCUCCGUGUGGCCCUGUGAUAGCUGCUUUUAGAAUAAGUGGCCUCAGCAGACAGGGUCACAGCUCACUCCCGCCAGGCUGGCCCCGAAGUGCCUGUGAGGGGCCCCAAACACAGCAGCUGCUGCUUCUGGUAUCCUUCCCCUUCCUACCAGGUGUG
ensembl:lncRNA